rnacentral:SRP_RNA from 14 species
GCCCUCCAAGAUGGCAGCGGCGGGGCAGACGCCGCUGCAGUUCGGCAGAUCCGCAGGGGAGGGCGGCGGUGGAAUGGCUGAGGCUGGC